GGCCUACGGAGAUGUGUUUCAGACAUUUAACCAAUCCAUCAUCUGCUCCACUGGAAUGAGGGGUCACACCAAAUUUCAGGCCAUUCCAAAACACAGCUAGGCUGACCAAGUGCUUUUAGAUGUUUUAAGAAUGAUUUUAAAUAGUUUCAGGUUCAGCGGGCCAUGUGAGUUUCAGAUAUGACUAAUUUUUAGGACAUCCAUAUCCUGGACGAGCCCCACCAAAUGUACAGUGGGGAUGUCUAACACACAUCAUGAUGGGCCUACAAAGCUUGACCUCAUGGAAAGUUCCCACAUAUGAUCUUCCAUUAUAGGAAGUUUGGCACAUGGGCUAUCCACAAUCAGAGCCAUCGCAUCACUGGCCCCACUGACAAUGAGGUGCUUUUUUU